CCUCGGGAAACUGAGGCUAAUCUGGAAUAGGGCUCUCAUCCUGGAGUGGAGAGAGCCUGAAAUGCUCCGGCGCCAUAGGAUGUGGCUGCGGCCGAUUAGGUAGACGGUGGGGUAACGGCCCACCGUGCCAGUAAUCGGUACGGGUUGUGAGAGCAAGAGCCCGGAGACGGUAUCUGAGACAAGAUACCGGGCCCUACGGGGCGCAGCAGGCGCGAAACCUUUACACUGCACGCCAGUGCGAUAAGGGGACUCCAAGUGCGAGGGCAUAUAGUCCUCGCUUUUUGCGACCGUAAGGUGGUCGCGGAAUAAGUGCUGGGCAAGACCGGUGCCAGCCGCCGCGGUAAUACCGGCAGCACAAGUGAUGACCGCUGUUAUUGGGCCUAAAGCGUCCGUAGCUGGCCGCACAAGUCUAUCGGGAAAUCUGCGUGCUUAACGCGCAGGCGUCCGGUGGAAACUGUGUGGCUUGGGACCGGAAGACCAGAGGGGUACGUCUGGGGUAGGAGUGAAAUCCCGUAAUCCUGGACGGACCACCGGUGGCGAAAGCGCCUCUGGAAGACGGAUCCGACGGUGAGGGACGAAAGCUCGGGUCACGAACCGGAU
rnacentral:rRNA from 1 species